GACGAACGCUGGCGGCGUGCUUAACACAUGCAAGUCGAACGGAAAGGCCCUGAUUUUGUGGGGUGCUCGAGUGGCGAACGGGUGAGUAACACGUGAGUAACCUGAUCUUGACUUUGGGAUAACUUCAGGAACGUGGGGCUAAUCUCGGAUCGGAGCUCCUGUUGCAUGGAGGGGGUUGGAACGUUUCGGCGGUUGUGGAUGGACUCGCGGCUUAUCAGUUUGUUGGUGGGGUAGUGGCUUACCCAGGCUUUGACGGGUAGCCGGCCUGGGAGGGUGACCAGGCACAUUGAGACUGAGAUACGGCCCAGACGCCUACAGUAGACAGCAGUGGGAAAUAUUGCACAAUGAGCGGAAGCCGGAUGCAGCAACGCCGCGUGCGGGAUGACGGCCUUCUGGUUGUAAACCGCUUUCGCCUGUUACGAAGCGUGAGUGACGGUAAUAGGUAAAGAAGCACCGGCUAACUACGUG
rnacentral:rRNA from 1 species